UACGUAGGGUGCAAGCGUUGUCCGGAAUUAUUGGGCGUAAAGAGCUCGUAGGCGGUCUGUUGCGUCGGCUGUGAAAACCCGGGGCUCAACUCCGGGCCUGCAGCCGAUACGGGCAGACUAGAGUUCGGCAGGGGAGACUGGAAUUCCUGGUGUAGCGGUGAAAUGCGCAGAUAUCAGGAGGAACACCGGUGGCGAAGGCGGGAUCUCUGGGCCGAUACUGACGCUGAGACACGAAAGCGUGGGUAGCAAACAGG
rnacentral:rRNA from 1 species